AUUGAACGCUGGCGGCAGGCCUAACACAUGCAAGUCGAGCGGAUGAAGGGAGCUUGCUCCUGGAUUCAGCGGCGGACGGGUGAGUAAUGCCUAGGAAUCUGCCUGGUAGUGGGGGAUAACGUCCGGAAACGGGCGCUAAUACCGCAUACGUCCUGAGGGAGAAAGUGGGGGUCUUUGGACCCCACGCUUUCCGGUGAGCCUAGGUCGGAUUAGCUAGUUGGUGGGGUAAAGGCCUACCAAGGCGACGAUCCGUAACUGGUCUGAGAGGAUGAUCAGUCACACUGGAACUGAGACACGGUCCAGACUCCUACGGGAGGCAGCAGUGGGGAAUAUUGGACAAUGGGCGAAAGCCUGAUCCAGCCAUGCCGCGUGUGUGAAGAAGGUCUUCGGAUUGUAAAGCACUUUAAGUUGGGAGGAAGGGCAGUAAGUUAAUACCUUGCUGUUUUGACGUUACCAACAGAAUAAGCACCGGCUAACUUCGUG
rnacentral:rRNA from 1 species